UGCAGCCGGGUAAGUCCUGUGCGACCAGCUCCUGCUGAAUUCCCCCAGGGUCGGAAGGCAGCAAGGGUAGGCGGUUGUAGCGGUGCGACACAGGUAGCUUACCCACUU
rfam:Mariniphaga anaerophila strain DSM 26910 genome assembly, contig: Ga0131162_102